UGGGGCUUUUCGAAGAACAACAGGGAUUACCUCAGUAACGGCGAGUGAAGCGGUAACAGCUCAAAUUUGAAAUCUGGCCUCACGGUCCGAGUUGUAAUUUGUAGAGGAUGCUUCGAGCAUGGUCUGGCCUUAAGUUCCUUGGAACAGGACGUCAUAGAGGGUGAGAAUCCCGUAUGCGGCCAGGUGCCUACGCUCAUGUGAAGCUCCUUCGACGAGUCGAGUUGUUUGGGAAUGCAGCUCAAAAUGGGUGGUAAAUUUCAUCUAAAGCUAAAUAUUGGCCAGAGACCGAUAGCGCACAAGUAGAGUGAUCGAAAGAUGAAAAGCACUUUGGAAAGAGAGUUAAACAGUACGUGAAAUUGUUGAAAGGGAAGCGCUUGCAACCAGACUUGCGCGCGGCCGAUCAUCCGGUGUUCUCACCGGUGCACUCGGCCGUGCUCAGGCCAGCAUCGGUUUUGGCGGCUGGAUAAAGGCCCUAGGAAUGUAGCUCCUCUCGGGGAGUGUUAUAGCCUAGGGUGCAAUGCAGCCUGCUGGGACCGAGGACCGCGCUUCGGCUAGGAUGCUGGCGUAAUGGUUGUAAGCGGCCCGUCUUGAAACACGGACCAAGGAGUCUAACAUCUAUGCGAGUGUUUGGGUGUCAAACCCAUACGCGUAAUGAAAGUGAACGGAGGUGAGAACCCUUAAGGGUGCAUCAUCGACCGGUCCUGAAGUUUACGGAAGGAUCUGAGUAAGAGCAUAGCUGUUGGGGACCCGAAAGAUGGUGAACUAUGCCUGAAUAGGGUGAAGCCAGAGGAAACUCUGGUGGAGGCUCGCAGCGGUUCUGACGUGCAAAUCGAUCGUCAAAUUUGGGUAUAGGGGCGAAAGACUAAUCGAACCAUCUGUCGC
rnacentral:rRNA from 2 species